rnacentral:rRNA from 1 species
AUUGAACGCUGGCGGCAUGCCUUACGCAUGCAAGUCGAACGGCAGCACGGGGGCAACCCUGGUGGCGAGUGGCGAACGGGUGAGUAAAGCAUCGGAACGUGCCCAGUAGGGGGGGAUAACCCGGCGAAAGCCGGGCUAAUACCGCAUACGACCUAAGGGUGAAAGCGGGGGACCGUAAGGCCUCGCGCUAUUGGAGCGGCCGAUGUCUGAUUAGCUAGUUGGCGGGGUAAAAGCCCACCAAGGCGACGAUCAGUAGCUGGUCUGAGAGGACGACCAGCCACACUGGGACUGAGACACGGCCCAGACUCCUACGGGAGGCAGCAGUGGGGAAUUUUGGACAAUGGGCGCAAGCCUGAUCCAGCCAUGCCGCGUGCGGGAAGAAGGCCUUCGGGUUGUAAACCGCUUUUGGCAGGAACGAAACGGCGCAAGCCAAUACCUUGCGCUAAUGACGGUACCUGCAGAAUAAGCACCGGCUAACUACGUGCCAGCAGCCGCCGUAACAC